CGAAUCAAUUUUGAGGAAAGAUAGAAUGCCGUGUGCUAAGUAUAUAUGAACGUCUCAGAAAUUAAGGUAUAACUCUCUGGUUGAGAUCUACUAUAGAUUUAUUGUUAAAACCACUGCCGACUCUGACGUACCACCGGAUAGCGACCACCACAAUGGAUUUCGCACAAUUUUCCAGGAACAUUUCGCGACGUUACUCCAUUUCUUCUCUCAUAGCUUUUGGAUUGCUUCUCGUUCUAUCCUCAGAAUUCAAGGAUAAGGAAAAUGGAGCAGAAAUCAGAACAAUACCUGCCACCUCUGAUACUGCAUAUCUAAACCAACUUUCCAUCUGGUACUUUACAACUCUACCCAACUAUUAAUACAAUAAUCCACCAAUGCGUUUCGUCACUACACGCAAGAAUGGCCUGUCGGCAAUAAAAUAUUAUUUCUUCUGUUUGAAAAUAGGAAUCAUUCCCGAAAUAUUGUAGGAUCAUUGAACAAUCUAUGUUAAGGAUUAGACAUGCCAUUUACUGCAACAGAAAAGGCAUUUUGUGUAUUGAAGUAGGACCAAACUCAGUCAAAUUUGAAUAUGCAACAUGUAUUUGUUAGAUUUCAUUAACAAGCGUCAACGGGAAAGCAGAUUUGGAUGUGGUAUAAUAAGUUUCAAAAGGAAGGCUGUGUCGGAAAACAGGAUCUGGACAGCCAGCAGUUUCAGAAGAAAUGGUGAACCAACUUCAAGAAAUACAUUCUCUUUCAGUGCUUUUUACUGCUCUUGUUUAAUUGUUGGUUUUUCCCUUUUAGGAUUACCAUUGUGUUUUGAACUGUUAUACAACGUUUGCUGUUUUCUGUGUCUUUUGGACACAUUGCCUGCUUUAGCAGGUUUGUUUUUUGUGAAAAUUCCCCCUAUUUGGGGGCGAAUUGUUUUCCUUUGAGGAAAAGCUUUUUACACACUCAGUACAUGGAAGUUGACACCUCCCAAUAUGUAAUUCCAGACUACUCCUUCCUCCCAUUUUGCCAAAUAAAGGAAGAGGAAAACAUACCAGAGAAUGAUAAAACCGAGGAGAGUAAGAAAAAGUUUUUUUAGCUGAUUUAUUUUAUUUAGACUUUUAGUCACAUGAUACGCUUUACAAUUUUUAGUUGAUUGUAUAUAGCUUCUUGAUAGGCCAUUCUAUAUAUCUGUAUUUUUAUUCGCAUAUAUAUAUAUAUAUAUAUAUAUAUAUAUAUAUUUUUACCUUGUGUUUUUUAUAUAUGUACACUUUAUAUGUUUAAGGGCCAUGGUAAUAUUUAUAUACAUGAACAAAUGUUUGGAGGUGUGGUGUUAUAUAUAAAGUCGUUGACUCAAAUGUGA